ACCACGCCCACUCCGGCCCGUUCGCCAAUCAUUGCUUGUCGAGGGGAUAAAAGUAGGCCGUGCCCUUCCUCCUGAACUCUCGCUUCCUGCCUCUUCGGCCCGUCCAUUUCCGGGUCGUUGCCCUCGCCGCUCACCUCAGAGCACAGAUCUGCCGAGAUCCUCAUCACAAUCGGGGCAAUGUAUUGGGGUCGUUUACCGCCGCUGACCAGAGCAUAGAGCUGAAGGCCGACGGUGGUGGCGGUGGUCCUCCUGGGUGGUGGUGGUGAUCCUUCGUGUGCGUGUGCUUUGUUUUAGAUUUUAUUCGUUUGGACUUCACGUUUUUGCUGUGUGUGUGAGGUGCCCUUGUUUCUUUCGUUGGAUUUAAUUUCCCCCUGACGACCACUCUCCCAGCCGGUAAGCCUCAGCUUGCACCUACGUCCUUCCCCAGUUGGGCUUACUUCUCUUUUUCAUCUUUUAUGCCAAACUGUGUUUAUAAUAAUAAAAUGCUUUGUUAUAUUUGAACUCUGUCUCCCGCCCUCCCUGAUUGAACGAACCUGAUAGUCUUAUCGUCAGAGGUGACAAUUAUACUCGUAGUGUAUAGGUCCUUGGGCCCUAACCCAAGGUGGCGUUGUC